rnacentral:misc_RNA from 1 species
UAGAAUUAUAGCUUGAAUUUAGGAUCUCUACCCAUUGAUAUUUCCCUCAAGUCUCAACCACUUGAAUUAGACUCCAGUGGCUAGCAUUGCGCAUUGCGGGUCCUUGCUUGUUUAGAUUUUAUUAUUAUUGUUAACAAAUUUUAAUAUUAAUUGUUGCCAUUUCUAUAAUUGUUGCCAUUUCUAUCAAUCUGCUGUGGGACAAAAUUAAUUGGUAGAAAUCAUAAUCAUACCAAUUUAAUUAAAGAAAGAAG